CCUACGGGGGGCAGCAGUGGGGAAUAUUGGACAAUGGGGGGAACCCUGAUCCAGCCAUGCCGCGUGUGUGAAGAAGUCCCUCGGGUUGUAAAGCACUUUCAGUGAGGAAGAACGCCUGGUGGUUAAUACCCAUCAGGAAAGACAUCACUCACAGAAGAAGCACCGGCUAACUCCGUGCCAGCAGCCGCGGUAAUACGGAGGGUGCGAGCGUUAAUCGGAAUUACUGGGCGUAAAGCGCGCGUAGGUGGCUUGAUAAGCCGGUUGUGAAAGCCCCGGGCUCAACCUGGGAACGGCAUCCGGAACUGUCAAGCUAGAGUGCAGGAGAGGAAGGUAGAAUUCCCGGUGUAGCGGUGAAAUGCGUAGAGAUCGGGAGGAAUACCAGUGGCGAAGGCGGCCUUCUGGACUGACACUGACACUGAGGUGCGAAAGCGUGGGUAGCAAACAGGAUUAGAUACCCUGGUAGUC
rnacentral:rRNA from 1 species